rnacentral:rRNA from 1 species
UGAAUACGAGAUGCUACGGCGUCGAAGCAGUGUAUGUCAGACUUCCAAGAAAAGCUCGCAAUGUCAUAAAUAAAGAAUGCCUGUACCAUAACCGACACAGGUGGGUAGGUAGAGUAUACUAAGGGGCGCGAGAUAACUCUCUCUAAGGAACUCGGCAAAAUAACUCCGUAACUUCGGGAGAAGGAGUGCCUUCUUUAAGAAGGUUGCAAUAACAAGAUCCAAGCAACUGUUUAUCAAAAACACAGGUCUCCGCUAAGUCGUAAGACGAUGUAUGGGGGCUGACGCCUGCCCAGUGCCAGAAGGUUAAAGAAGUUGGUUAGCUUUUGCGAAGCUGAUGACUGAAGCCCUGGUGAACGGCGGCCGUAACAAUAACGGUCCUAAGGUAGCGAAGUUCCUUGUCGGGUAAGUUCCGACCCGCACGAAAGGCGUAAUGAUUUGGAUACUGUCUCGGAGAGGGACUCGGUGAAAUAGACUUGUCUGUGAAGAUGCGGACUACCUGCACCAGGACAGAAAGACCCUAUGAAGCUUUACUGUAACUUGAAAUUGAAAUUGGACUUUAUUUGCGCAGUAUAGGUGGAAGGCGUUGAAAGUAAUCUUGCGGGAUUAGUGGAGCCAUCAGUGAGAUACCACUCCUAUAAUGUUAGAUUUCUGACUUUGGAUCAUGAUCUGGUCAAAGAACAGUUUCAGGCGGGCAGUUUGACUGGGGCGGUCGCCUCCCAAAUGGUAACGGAGGCGUACAAAGGUUUCCUCUGAACGGGUAGAAAUCGUAUCUAGAGUGUAAAGGCAUAAGGAAGCUUGACUGUGAGACCUACAAGUCGAGCAGGGACGAAAGUCGGUCUUAGUGAUCUGACGGUGCUGAGUGGAAAGGCCGUCACUCAACGGAUAAAAGUUACUCUAAGGAUAACAGGCUGAUCUCCCCCAAGAGUUCACAUCGACGGGGAGGUUUGGCACCUCGAUGUCGGCUCAUCGCAUCCUGGGGCGGUAGUACGUCCCAAGGGUUGGGCUGUUCGCCCAUGAAAGCGGUACGCGAGCUGGGUUCAGAACGUCGUGAGACAGUUCGGUCCAUAUCCGGUGUAGGCGUUAGAAUAUUGAGAGGAGCCUUCUUUAGUACGAGAGGACCGAGAAGGACAUACCUCUGGUGUACCAGUUAUCGUGCCAACGGUAAACGCUGGGUAGCUAUGUAUGGAGAGGAUAACCGCUGAAAGCAUCUAAGUGGGAAGCCCACCUCAAGAUGAGUAUUCAC